UACGUAGGGUGCAAGCGUUGUCCGGAAUUAUUGGGCGUAAAGAGCUCGUAGGCGGCUCGUCACGUCGGCUGUGAAAACCCGGGGCUCAACCCCGGGCCUGCAGUCGAUACGGGCGAGCUAGAGUUCGGCAGGGGAGACUGGAAUUCCUGGUGUAGCGGUGAAAUGCGCAGAUAUCAGGAAGAACACCCGUGGCGAAAGCGGCUCUCUGGAACGGUACUGACGCUGAGACGCGAAAGCGUGGGGAGCGAACAGG
rnacentral:rRNA from 1 species